AGAGUUUGAUCCUGGCUCAGGAUGAACGCGAAAGGCGCACUUAACACAUGCAAGUUGAAUGUAAAUAAAAAAUUUUUUUAAAUACAUAGCGAACAGGUGAGUACAACAUAAAAAUUAAAAUUUAGAUUAGAGUCAUAAAAAAGAAAUUUUUGGUAAUAUCUGAUAUAUGCAUUUUAAAAAAGUGUUUACAAAGGUUAAAACUGUCUAUAAAUAAAUUUAUGUCUGAUUAGCUAGUUGGUAAAAGUAUAAGCUUACCAAGGCGAAGAUCAGUAGUUGGUCUGAGAGGAUGGUCAACCACAUUGGGAUUGAAACAAAGCCCAAACUCCUAAGGGAGGCAGCAGUGGGGAAUUUUCUGCAAUGAGCGCAAGCUUGACAGAGUGACGUCACGUGAAGGAUUAAAGCUUUUUUAGUUGUAAACUUCUUUUGCCUUAUAUUUGAAUACUGACAAAAAGGUUUUAAAAAGUAUCGGCUAACUUCGUGCCAGCAGCCGCGGUAAUACGGGGGAUACAGGCGUUAUCCGGAAUUAUUGGGCGUAAAGCGUUUGUAGGUUGUUUUAUAUGUCUUUAGGUAAAUAAUGUUACUCUAAAUUCAUCAAAUUUAAAGAAACUAUAAAACUAGAGUAUUAUAGAGGUAAAAGGAAUUUCUCGAGAAGUGGUGAAAUAUGAAGAUACGAGAGAGAAGGCCAUAGGCGUAGGCAUUUUACUGGAUUAUUUUUUAACUGACACUAAUAAACGAAAGUUAAGGUAGCGAAUGGGAUUAGAUACCCCAGUAGUCUUAACUGUAAACGAUGGAUACUCGGUAUUUACUUUUUAUUAUAAUAUUAUUAAGUACCCUAGCUAACGCGUUAAGUAUCCCGCCUGAGGAGUACGCUCGCAAGAGUGAAACUCAAAGGAAUUGACGGGGGCUCGCACAAGCGGUGGAGCAUGUGGUUUAAUUCGAUGAAACACGAAGAACCUUACCAGAAUUUGACUUUAUAAUAAUUAAAAUUUUAAUAAUUUUUAAAUUUUAUUAUAAACAGGUGGUGCAUGGCUGUCGUCAGCUCGUGUCGUGAGAUGUUGGGUUAAGUCCCAUAACGAGCGUAACCCUUUUUAUAAGUUUAUAUUACUUGUAAUACUUUUUUUUAAAAAAAUGAUAAAUCAAAAAUAGGAAGUAAGGAUGACGUCAAGUCAUCAUGCCCUUUAUGUUCUGGGCUACACACGUGCUACAAUGGAUAGUACAAUAGAAAAAAAAUCUUAUUAUCGUGAGAAGAGAUUAAAUCUUAAAACUAUUCUUAGUUCGGAUCAUAAACUGCAACUUGUUUAUGUGAAGUUGGAAUCGCUAGUAAUCGCCGGUCAGCUAUACGGCGGUGAAUAUGUUCCCGAGCCUUGUACACACUGCCCGUCACGCCAUGGAAGUUAAUUUAUCUUUAAAUUUUAAAAAAAAAGAUCAAAGCAAAAAUUAAUAACUAGGGUGAAGUCGUAACAAGGUAGCUGUACUGGAAGGUGCUGCUGGAUAAAAU
rnacentral:rRNA from 1 species